CCAACAUAAACUUCAAACUAUUAACCAAGUCCACAACAUGGAUUAACAAAAAAAAAAAAAACCUGCAGCAGUGAAGAUUAAAGACGCGGGCUGAUGGCAGGAGCCAGGAGGUUUGGACCAAAGAGCAUAUGUACCUUCCAGAUGCUGCAGCAACCAAGCUGAGGGUUAACGACGGCGUCGCUGUACUUGAGGGGAGGGGCUGUGCUGCUACUAAGGGGCUGUGUUAGGCGCUGACCGUGGUGUGAGACGAGGAAGAGACGCGAGGAAGAGAUCGAGAGGGGCUGAGCCGAACCGCACCAUGCACGCGCAGAGGCCGAGAGGGGCUGCGCCGAACCGCACCAUGCACGCGCAGAGGGGGAAGAUACUGCUAAGGGGUGGUGCCGCCGUUGUGGAGCUCCGCCGUGAGGAGAAAGAGACGCGAGGGAGAGGCGCGAGGGAGAGAGGCAAGGGCAGUAUGCAAUCGCGAUUUAGCUUUAGGGAUUUGAAUUUUGUGAUUGAAAUUGAAAUUUGAUUUUAAAUAUUUGUAAUUGAAUUAAACCGAACCGAUCGGUUUUUCGGUUCAAUUCGGUUUUGAACCGAACCGAAUUAAAACCAAUUGGUUCAGUAUUUUUUAAACCAUUCGGUUUUUGCUCAUAGAACCGAACCGAACCGAACCGAAUUUUUCGGUUCGGUUCGGCAAAAACCGAACCGUUUGCCCACCCCUAGAUAUUAGUAAAAAGAUUCUCACACUUGUUCCCAGUGCUUUUUCAUAUUUUAAAAAUAUUCAAUAAUAGUCUCAUUAUCAUUAUUUUAUGA
rnacentral:lncRNA from 1 species